AAGACGAACCGUGCGAACGUUGUUCGGAAUCACUGGGCUUAAAGGGCGCGUAGGCGGCUUGCCAAGUCAGGGGUGAAAUCCUGCAGCUCAACUGUAGAAGUGCCUUUGAUACUGGCGAGCUCGAGGGAGGUAGGGGUGCGCGGAACUUCUGGUGGAGCGGUGAAAUGCGUUGAUAUCAGAAGGAACGCCGGUGGCGAAAGCGGCGCACUGGAUCUCUUCUGACGCUGAGGCGCGAAAGCUAGGGGAGCAAACGG
rnacentral:rRNA from 1 species